AUUGAACGCUGGCGGAAUGCUUUACACAUGCAAGUCGAACGGUAGAGGGGGCAACCCCUCGAGAGUGGCGAACGGGUGAGUAAUAUAUCGGAACGUGCCCAGUCGUGGGGGAUAACGUAGCGAAAGUUACGCUAAUACCGCAUACGAUCUGAGGAUGAAAGCGGGGGACCGUAAGGCCUCGCGCGAUCGGAGCGGCCGAUGUCAGAUUAGGUAGUUGGUGGGGUAAAGGCCCACCAAGCCGACGAUCUGUAGCUGGUCUGAGAGGACGACCAGCCACACUGGGACUGAGACACGGCCCAGACUCCUACGGGAGGCAGCAGUGGGGAAUUUUGGACAAUGGGCGAAAGCCUGAUCCAGCAAUGCCGCGUGCAGGAAGAAGGCCUUCGGGUUGUAAACUGCUUUUGUACGGAGCGAAAAGGUCCUUUCUAAUACAAGGGGCUCAUGACGGUACCGUAAGAAUAAGCACCGGCUAACUACGUGCCAGCAGCCGCGGUAA
rnacentral:rRNA from 1 species